rnacentral:lncRNA from 1 species
AGAGUUACCAGGGCAGGCCACCGGACCCCUGAGCUUGCUUAAUAACCGGAGGAUUUGAGAAAGGCGCGCGGCGGGCGAAGCCAGGCAGCCGGACGGCCGAGGGGCGUGGGACCGGGCAGAGCGGGACCGGGAGAGAGCGCCUUUCCCAGCUCCCUAAAGCCACAGCGUAUCCCACUCCCUGCAGGUCGCAGAAAGAGUGGAGAACUGGUGCCACUCGGACACCUUAGCUCACCGAGAGAAAUGGAGACGGCCUCCAGGACAUCUUAGGACCCUGGUUGAUUCCGAGAAUCACAAAUCACAUCUCUGAAAAAAGUGAAAAGUUCAUUCUUUCACUUAGUGCAACAAAUGUUUACUGAAACUUACUAUGUGCCAGACACAAUUGAGAUGCUGGUAAUAUGAUGCAGGCAAAGUAGGCCCAGAUCCCUGGCCCGAAAGAAUUCACGUACUAUUUAUGUAUUUUAGUCAGCCUGUCUUUUCCUCCUACAUUGCCUCUGCCACUUCAACUCUGUCUCCCCCCACCCCCAAAACACACACACAGUACAAUAUUUGGCUGAUUCAUCUUGAUAUGUUCAAUGUUUUUCUUUCCAAGAAAAAAGUUGAACAAAAUGAGAAAGCAACAGAUUGGUAAGACAUUAGAGCUUGGUGGUCUCAGACAACCCCUUCCUUCAGUGAGGGGAAUGAAAUUAAGUGCCCAUGGAAUUAAUUGCAUAUAUGACAACGCCUAAAAGCCUGCAAAGUUUAGCCAUAUCAACAUUUUAUGGAAUGGAAAAAAAGAUCAAGUCCCUGUCCUUGAAAGCUCAUAUUCAUGAGAAAUAAGACAGCAGCACCAGGCUGGGCGCGGUGGCUCACGCCUGUAAUCCCAACACUUUGGGAGGCGGAGGCAGGCGGAUCACAAGGUAAGGAGUUCGAGACCAGCCUGGCCAACAUAGUGAAACACCGUCUCUACUAAAAAUACAAAAAUUAGCCGGGUGUGGUGGCACGCUCCUGUAGUCCCAGCUACUCGGGAGGAUGAGGCAGAAGAAUUGCUUGAACCCGGGAGGCGGAGGUUGCAGUGAGCCGAGACCACGCCAUUGCACUCCAGCCUGGGUGACAGAGUGAGACUGUCUCAAAAAAAAAAGCACCAAACAUAUUUCCCUUUCUAUAAUGUGUGUACUAAAGUUGUUUUGGAAGGUGGAAGAGGAUGUUUGCUUGUCAAAUUGUAAUACAAUCCUGAAGAGGGCAAUGGGAAUCGAAAGCCAAAAAUUAGUGUAGGCUUCCAAAUAAAGUAGGUUCAAGGUGCUACCUUAAUGAAGAUUCUUAACAGCACACAGCAGAGGUGUUGUUAUAAAGGUGGAAUAAGUACACCCACCAAAAGCGACAAGAUCUAAGAAUGAGUAGGAUAAAAAGAUCUUAGUCCAUUUAGGCUGCUAACACAAAUGCCCUCAACUGGGUAGCUCAUAAACAACAGAAAUUUAUUUCUGACUGUCCUGGAGGCUGAGAAGUCCAGGAUCAAGAUGCCAGCAGAUUUGGUGUCCGGUGAGGACCUGCUUUCUGAUUCAUAGAUGGUGCCUUCUUUGUUCUCACAUGGCAGAAGGGGCUGGCUAGCUCUCUGGGGUCUCUUUUACAAGGGUACUAAUCCCAUUCAUGAGAGGCCAGCCCUCAUGACCUGUUCACCUCCCAAAGGCCCUACCUCCCUAUACCAUCACCUUAGCAGUUAAGAUUUCAACCUAUGAGUUUGGUAGGACACAAAUAUUCAGACCAUAGCAACAUUGAUGAGAAGAUCCACAGAAAUCCUGGAAUCCAGCGAGGAAUAAAUCAAAGCAUAGUACCUUUGGUAGAUUCAUUCAUUUCAUGGUUCCCAGAAAGGCAUCUUUACCAUCCAGCUCAAUGAAGUCUUUUCAAAAACUCAUCAUUCCUGGCCAGGCACAGUGGCUCACGCCGGUAAUCCCAGCACUUUGGGAGGCCGAGGUGGGCAGAUCACGAGGUCAGGAGAUCAAGACCAUCCUGGCUAACAUGGUGAAACCCUGUCUCUACUAAAAAUACAAAAAAUUAGCCAGACAUAGUUGCGGGCGCCUGUAGAGCCAGCUACUCGGGAGGCUGAGGCAGGAGAAAUGCGUGAACCCAGGAGGUGGAGCCUGCAGUGAGCAGAGAUCGCCCCACUGCACUCCAGCCUGGGCGACAGACCGAGAUUCCAUCUCAAAAAAAAAACAAAAAAAAAUUCAUCAUUCCUUUGUUUUCAGUUGAUCAAAGGUUUUAAUUCCCUAUUACAAUGAAAUAGAUGUUAGGAUGCAUAACAAACUCAGUUGCAUCUGUCUUUAUGUGCUUUAAGAUGAAUGACUUUAAGUCCAGGCGCAGCGGUUCACACCUGUAAUCCCAGCACUUUGGGAGGCUGAGGCAGGUGGAUCACAAGGUUAGGAGUUCAAGACCAGCCUGGCCAAGAUGUUGACACCCCAUUUCUACUAAAAAUACAAAAAUUAGCCAGGCGCAGUGGCAGGCGCCUGUAAUCCCAGCUACUCAGGAGGCUGAGGCAGGAGAAUCACUUGAAUCCAGGAGGCAAAGGUUGCAGUGAGCCGAGAUCACGCCACUGCACUCCAGCCUGGGCAACCGAGCGAGACUCCGUUUCAAAAAAAAAAAAAAUGAUGAAUGGCUUUAAUCCUUGGAUAUACUAUCAGGAUCAGGAUCUACUGGACCCAACUUUAGCCUUUCAGGGUUGUUUUUUUGUUUUUGGGCUCUACUCUUAAGGAUUGAUAUUUCAUGAUUUUUUGUUCCUUCGUAGAAGUCUUCCAAACAACAAAGAGAAAAUUUAUUUUCUAAAAAAAUAGAUGUGGUGACUCACACCUGUAAUCCUAGCAGUUUGGGAAGCUGAAGGGGGAGGAUCCCUUGAGCCCAGGAGUUCAAGACCACCCUGGAAAAUAUGGUGAAACCCCAUCUGUACCAAAAAUAUAGAAAAAUUAGCAGAGCGUGGUAGUGUGUGACUUUAAUCCCAGCUACUCAGGAGGCUGAGGUGGGAGAGUAACCUCAACCCAGGGAGGUCAAGGCAGCAGUGAGCCGUGAUGGUGCCAUUACAUGACUGUGCCACUGCCUGGGCGAUAGAGUGAGAUUCUGUCUCAAAAAUAAAAUACAUAAAAUUAAAAAAUAGAAUAAAACUCAUUCUAUUUACAAUUCCCAUAUAGAUCCAUUGGACCCUUAUACAUCUAGGACACAUAGUGGGAUUUACUAAUUUUUUUUUUUGUAUGUUGAAACGUUCUGCUACUUCAUCAUCCAUAGAAUUAUUUCAUCCUUACUGAUCAAUUAUUCCAAGCUAUGCUUUAAAAAAGAUGAAAGUCAGGCUGGCGCAGUGGCUCACGCCUAUAAUUCCAGGGAUGUCACCGUGUUGGCCAGGCUAGUCUUGAAUUCCUGGCCUCAAGUGAUCCGACCACCUCAGCCUCCCAAAGUGCUGGGAUUACAAGCGUGAGCCACCGCACCUGGCCCUUUUUUUCUUUUUUUUUUUUUAGACGGAGUCUUGCUCUGUCCCCCAGGCUGGAGUGCAGUGGCACGAUCUCGGCUCGCUGCAAGCUCCGCCUCCCGGGUUCACGCCAUUCUCCUGCCUCAGCCUCCCGAGUAGCUGGGACUACAGGCGCCCGCCACCACGCUUGGCUAAUUUUUUUGUAUUUUUAGUACAGGCGGGGUUUCACCGAGUUAGCCAGGAUGGUCUCCAUCUCCUGACCUCGUGAUCCGCCCUCCUCGGCCUCCCAAAGUGCUGGGAUUGCAGGCGUGGGCUUUUUUUGCUUUUUUAAAUAGGGAUGGGGUCUUGCUAUGCUGCCUAGGUUGGAAUUGAACUCCUGGACUCAAGGGAUCCUCCCACCUUGGCCUUUCAAAGUGUUGGGAUUAUAGGUAUGAACUACCACACCUAUAAUUUUUUCCAGUAUGCUGGUUACGAGGUUUCAACCUGAGGAAGAGUAGAAAGGGAAUGGAAUUUUUUUUAACUCCUGUGAAAGGAAGGUCAGAACAUCUAAGAGAUUGUAAAAAAUAUAAAAUCUCAUAUAAGCUCCCUUCAAAAGAAAGUCUUUUAAAAGCAAAUACUCCUAAGUUCACUAUUUCCUCAAACUGGCAUUUCUUAAAAUGCCAGAGACUAAAAAGAGAGGGAAAGAUUAUGUGGUCGAAUAAAGACAUGUAUAGCCAAGAACAUUUCUUAAAGAUAUUUGACCUUGCAACUUUUUUCCCAGGGAUUAUCUUGAGUCAAGUAUUCUAAACACCCUAUGAAAGACUUUGCCUUCCACCAUUAAAUAUUAGUUAAUACGUAACAGCCAGUAAUCUUCCUACUUCAGAACCCACAGGUAUUUCUAAACUGAGGUUCCAGUACUACAGUCAGUGAAGUAUAAUGUCAAUUUCUUGGAACUGUAGAUGUUAACCACCAGAUGGAGCUUUCACCUCUACUUUUCCUUUUUAGGUUUACUCUGUUUUCUAGUAUUGAUGAAGCACUUGUAGUUUUUUCUAACAUGGAUUCUCUUCCAUUUGUUCAGAUAGUGACAGGUUAAGGCACUGGCCAACUAUUUUUGGAGUAGUCACUUGAAAAAGCAAUAUUCAGAUUCUUAUAAUUUUGAAUUUUCAGCACCAGUAGUGUGUUAAAGUUAUAUUCACGGAAUAACAUCUGUCUGAUCCUCUAUUCUGCACUCAUAAUGACUACAAUUGUAUUAAAUAUAAUAAGGCUAAUUAAUAAGUCACAUGGAAAUUACAGAAUAGUAAACUCAAGCCUUUGUGAUCAUUUAGUCUAAUCCCCAUACAUGACAAAUGAAUGUGAGGACAAGAGAAGUGGCACACUUAACAACACCCUAGGCCAGGGUGCUGAUGCUCAUUUAAAACCUACAACACUGGCUUUGCAGACACCACUGCCGGAGCCCUGUACUAUCAACCAUGGUGAACCCCACCGUGUUCUUCAACAUCGUGGUUGACGGCGAGCCCUUGGGCCGUGUCUCCUUCAAGCAGUUUGCAGAAAAGUUUCCAAAGACAGCAGAAAACUCAUGCUCUGACCACUGGAGAGAAAGGAUUGGAUUAUAAGUGUUCCCUUCUUUCACAGAAUUAUUCCAGGGUUUAUGUGUCAGGGUGGUGACUUCACAUGCCAUAAUGGCACUGGUGGCAAGUCCAUCUACGGGGAGAAAUUUAAUAAUGAGAACUUCAUCCUAAAGCAUACAGGUCCUGGCAUCUUGUCCAUGGCAAAUGCUGGACCCAUCACAAACAGUUCCCAGUUUUUCAUCUGCACUGCCAAGACUGAGUGGUUGGAUGGCAGGCCAUGUGGUCUUUGGCAAGUUGAAAGAAGGCAUGAAUAUUGUGGAGGCCAUGGAGUGCUUUGGGUCCAGUGGCAAGACCAAGACCACCAUUGCUGACUGUGGAUAACUCUAAUAAGUUUGACUUGUGUUUUUAUCUUAACCACCAGACCAUUCUGUCUGUAGCUCAAUAGAGCACGCCUUCACCCCAUUUUUUCGCAGUAUCCUAUAAUCUUUGUGCUCUCACUGCAGUUUCCUUUGGGUUCCAUGUUUUCCUUGUUUCCGUCCAUGCCUAGCUGGAUUGCAGAGUUAAGUUUAUAAUUAUGAAAUAAAAACUAAAUAACAAAUAAAA